rnacentral:rRNA from 1 species
ACUGAUGCAGCAACGCCGCGUGGAGGAUGACUACAUUUCGGUGCGUAAACUCCUUUAUAUGAGAAGAUAAUGACGGUAUUAUAUGAAUAAGCACCGGCUAACUCCGUGCCAGCAGCCGCGGUAAUACGGGGGGUGCAAGCGUUACUCGGAAUCACUGGGCGUAAAGAGCAUGUAGGCGGAUUAAUAAGUUUGAAGUGAAAUCCUAUAGCUUAACUAUAGAACUGCUUUGAAAACUGUUAAUCUAGAAUGUGGGAGAGGUAGAUGGAAUUUCUGGUGUAGGGGUAAAAUCCGUAGAGAUCAGAAGGAAUACCGAUUGCGAAGGCGAUCUACUGGAACAUUAUUGACGCUGAGAUGCGAAAGCGUGGGGAGCAAACAGGAUUAGAUACCCUGGUAGUCCACGCCCUAAACGAUGUACACUAGUUGUUGUGAGACUUGAUCUUGCAGUAAUGCAGUUAACACAUUAAGUGUACCGCCUGGGGAGUACGGUCGCAAGAUUAAAACUCAAAGGAAUAGACGGGGAC